rnacentral:rRNA from 1 species
CGUAGGGUGCGAGCGUUAAUCGGAAUUACUGGGCGUAAAGCGUGCGCAGGCGGUUUUGUAAGACAGGCGUGAAAUCCCCGGGCUCAACCUGGGAACUGCGCUUGUGACUGCAAGGCUAGAGUACGGCAGAGGGGGUGGAAUUCCACGUGUAGCAGUGAAAUGCGUAGAGAUGUGGAGGAACACCAAUGGCGAAGGCAGCCCCCUGGGUCGAUACUGACGCUCAUGCACGAAAGCGUGGGUAGCAAACAGGAUUAGAUACCCUGGUAGUCCACGCCCUAAACGACGUCAACUAGGUGUUGGGUGGGUAAAACCAUUUAGUACCGGAGCUAACGCGUGGAGUUGACCGCCUGGGGAGUACGGCCGCAAGGUUA